UGGGGAAUAUUGCACAAUGGGGGAAACCCUGAUGCAGCGACGCCGCGUGAGCGAAGAAGGUUUUCGAAUCGUAAAGCUCUGUCCUAUGAGAAGAUAAUGACGGUAUCAUAGGAGGAAGCCCCGGCUAAAUACGUGCCAGCAGCCGCGGUAAUACGUAUGGGGCGAGCGUUGUCCGGAAUUAUUGGGCGUAAAGGGUACGUAGGCGGUCUAUUAAGUCAGGUGUGAAAUCCCCGAGCUUAACUCGGGAACUGCAUCUGAUACUGUUGGUCUUGAGUGCUGGAGAGGAUAGUGGAAUUCCUAGUGUAGCGGUAAAAUGCGCAGAUAUUAGGAGGAACACCAGUGGCGAAGGCGGCUAUCUGGACAGUAACUGACGCUGAGGCGCGAAAGCGUGGGUAGCAAACAGG
rnacentral:rRNA from 1 species